rnacentral:rRNA from 1 species
UACGGGGGGGACAAGCGUUGUUCGGAUUUACUGGGCGUAAAGGGCGUGUAGGCGGGUCUUCAAGUCGGUUGUGAAAUCUGGUGGCUUAACUGCCAGCCUGCAUCCGAAACUGUUGAUCUUGAGUACGGGAGAGGAGAGCGGAAUUCCAGGUGUAGCGGUGAAAUGCGUAGAUAUCUGGAAGAACACCUGUAGCGAAGGCGGCUCUCUGGCCCGAUACUGACGCUAAAGCGCGAAGGCUUGGGUAGCAAACAGGAUUAGAUACCCGCGUA